rnacentral:lncRNA from 1 species
CCAGGACUGAUAUUUCUGCUCUUCGACAGUACAUCUUUCAGAGUUUGGAGGAGAUGAAGAUUUUUUCUUAGGGGCAGUAUGAUUCUAUCAUGCAUCAAAUGAGUGUCUUGUCUCAAAACAUAAACAUAUUUGAAAAAAGACAGCAUGGGAUAGCUGAGGAAGUUGGUCAGAUAAAAGCUAAGGUCGUCAAAAUUCUGAGAAGAGC